GAUGAACGCUAGCGGCAGGCCUAAUACAUGCAAGUCGAACGGUGUCUUCGGACAUAGUGGCGCACGGGUGCGUAACACGUAUGCAACCUACCUUACAUUGGGGGAUAGCCUUUCGAAAGGGAGAUUAAUACCGCAUAAGACAGUAGCUGGGCAUCCAGCAGCUGUUAAAGAUUUAUCGAUGUAAGCUGGGCAUGCGUCCAAUUAGCUAGUUGGUGAGGUAACGGCUCACCAAGGCUAUGAUUGGUAGGGAACUGAGAGGUCAAUCCCCCACACUGGCACUGAGAUACGGGCCAGACUCCUACGGGAGGCAGCAGUAGGGAAUAUUGGGCAAUGGACGCAAGUCUGACCCAGCCAUGCCGCGU
rnacentral:rRNA from 1 species